rnacentral:rRNA from 1 species
AGUGAACGCUGGCGGUAGGCCUAACACAUGCAAGUCGAACGGCAGCACAGUAAGAGCUUGCUCUUACGGGUGGCGAGUGGCGGACGGGUGAGGAAUACAUCGGAAUCUACUUUUUCGUGGGGGAUAACGUAGGGAAACUUACGCUAAUACCGCAUACGACCUACGGGUGAAAGCAGGGGAUCUUCGGACCUUGCGCGAUUGAAUGAGCCGAUGUCGGAUUAGCUAGUUGGCGGGGUAAAGGCCCACCAAGGCGACGAUCCGAAGCUGGUCUGAGAGGAUGAUCAGCCACACUGGAACUGAGACACGGUCCAGACUCCUACGGGAGGCAGCAGUGGGGAAUAUUGGACAAUGGGCGCAAGCCUGAUCCAGCCAUACCGCGUGGGUGAAGAAGGCCUUCGGGUUGCAAAGCCCUUUUGUUGGGAAAGAAAAGCAGCAGGUUAAUACCCCGCUGUUCUGACGGUACCCAAAGAAUAAGCACCGGCUAACUUCGUG